CGGUAGGGUUGCAUCUUGACUGGGAGGCUGAGUCUCUUUAGACUCAUGCACCCCUAAAUUUGGCAGGGCAUGUGCUCUGCCAUUUUGCUUUGUUUGUAAAGCAAUAGCGUCGAAAGACAACAGUGGAGCUAAAGA
rnacentral:sRNA from 1 species